rnacentral:rRNA from 1 species
AUUGAACGCUGGCGGCAGGCCUAACACAUGCAAGUCGAGCGCGCGGCGCACGGGUGUGAAUAGUAUGUGGCACAGCCCGUAAGAGGGGGGUAACUACUGGAAAAGGUAGCUAUUACCGCAUAUUAUCGGUUGAACCCCUAUGGGAUUAGCGAGUAGGUGGGGUAUUGGCUCGCCUCGGCGACGAUCCAUCGCUGGUCUGAGAGGAUGAUCCGCCAAACUGGAACGGAGACACGGCCCAGACUCCUACGGGAGGCAGCAGUGGGGAAGAUUGCACAAUGGGCGCAAGCCUGAUGCAGCCAUGCCGCGUGUAUGAAGAAGGCCCUAGGGUUGUAAAGUACUUUCAGUGGGGAGGCGUUACCGGCAGAAGAAGCACCGGCUAACUCCGUGCCAGCCGCCGCGGUAAUUC